rnacentral:rRNA from 1 species
GACGAACGCUGGCGGCGUGCUUAACACAUGCCAGUCGAACGAUGAAGAAGAGAAACGCGAACUUCGGUUCAAAUUUCACUUCGGAUUAGUGGCAGACGGGUGAGUAACGCGUGAGCAACCUACCUCUUACAAAGGGAUAGCCUCGGGAAACCGUGAUUAAUACCAUAUGACACAUUCAUAAGGCAUCUUAAGAAUGUUAAAGCUACGGCGGUAAGAGAUGGGCUCGCGUCCCAUUAGCUAGUUGGUGAGGUAACGGCCCACCAAGGCGACGAUGGGUAACCGGGCUGAGAGGGUGAACGGUCACAUUGGAACUGAGACACGGUCCAAACUCCUACGGGAGGCAGCAGUGGGGAAUAUUGCACAAUGGAGGGAACUCUGAUGCAGCGACGCCGCGUGAGCGAUGAAGGAAUUCGUUUCGUAAAGCUCUGUUCUAUGGGAAGAAAAGGACUGUACCAUGGGAGAAAGCCCCGGCUAAAUACGUG